GAAAUGCGAUAAGUAAUGUGAAUUGCAGAAUUCAGUGAAUCAUCGAAUCUUUGAACGCACAUUGCGCCCGCCAGUAUUCUGGCGGGCAUGCCUGCCCGAGCGUCAUUUCAACCAUCAAGCCCCCGGGCUUGUGUUGGGGACCUGCGGCUGCCCGCAGGCCCUGAAAACCAGUGGCGGGCUCGCUGUCACACCGAGCGUAGUAGCAAUCACCUCGCUCAGGGCGUGCUGCGGGUUCCGGCCGUUAAACAGCCUUACAAAACCCAAGGUUGACCUCGGAUCAGGUAGGAAGACCCGCUGAACUUAAGC
rnacentral:misc_RNA from 1 species